GGGUUGUGAGGUUAAGCGACUAAGCGUACACGGUGGAUGCCCUGGCAGUCAGAGGCGAUGAAGGACGUGCUAAUCUGCGAUAAGCGUCGGUAAGGUGAUAUGAACCGUUAUAACCGGCGAUUUCCGAAUGGGGAAACCCAGUGUGAUUCGUCACACUAUCAUUAACUGAAUCCAUAGGUUAAUGAGGCGAACCGGGGGAACUGAAACAUCUAAGUACCCCGAGGAAAAGAAAUCAACCGAGAUUCCCCCAGUAGCGGCGAGCGAACGGGGAGCAGCCCAGAGCCUGAAUCAGUGUGUGUGUUAGUGGAAGCGUCUGGAAAGGCGUGCGAUACAGGGUGACAGCCCCGUACACAAAAAUGCACAUAUUGUGAGCUCGAUGAGUAGGGCGGGACACGUGGUAUCCUGUCUGAAUAUGGGGGGACCAUCCUCCAAGGCUAAAUACUCCUGACUGACCGAUAGUGAACCAGUACCGUGAGGGAAAGGCGAAAAGAACCCCGGCGAGGGGAGUGAAAAAGAACCUGAAACCGUGUACGUACAAGCAGUGGGAGCACGCUUAGGCGUGUGACUGCGUACCUUUUGUAUAAUGGGUCAGCGACUUAUAUUCUGUAGCAAGGUUAACCGAAUAGGGGAGCCGAAGGGAAACCGAGUCUUAACUGGGCGUUAAGUUGCAGGGUAUAGACCCGAAACCCGGUGAUCUAGCCAUGGGCAGGUUGAAGGUUGGGUAACACUAACUGGAGGACCGAACCGACUAAUGUUGAAAAAUUAGCGGAUGACUUGUGGCUGGGGGUGAAAGGCCAAUCAAACCGGGAGAUAGCUGGUUCUCCCCGAAAGCUAUUUAGGUAGCGCCUCGUGAAUUCAUCUCCGGGGGUAGAGCACUGUUUCGGCAAGGGGGUCAUCCCGACUUACCAACCCGAUGCAAACUGCGAAUACCGGAGAAUGUUAUCACGGGAGACACACGGCGGGUGCUAACGUCCGUCGUGAAGAGGGAAACAACCCAGACCGCCAGCUAAGGUCCCAAAGUCAUGGUUAAGUGGGAAACGAUGUGGGAAGGCCCAGACAGCCAGGAUGUUGGCUUAGAAGCAGCCAUCAUUUAAAGAAAGCGUAAUAGCUCACUGGUCGAGUCGGCCUGCGCGGAAGAUGUAACGGGGCUAAACCAUGCACCGAAGCUGCGGCAGCGACGCUUAUGCGUUGUUGGGUAGGGGAGCGUUCUGUAAGCCUGUGAAGGUGUGCUGUGAGGCAUGCUGGAGGUAUCAGAAGUGCGAAUGCUGACAUAAGUAACGAUAAAGCGGGUGAAAAGCCCGCUCGCCGGAAGACCAAGGGUUCCUGUCCAACGUUAAUCGGGGCAGGGUGAGUCGACCCCUAAGGCGAGGCCGAAAGGCGUAGUCGAUGGGAAACAGGUUAAUAUUCCUGUACUUGGUGUUACUGCGAAGGGGGGACGGAGAAGGCUAUGUUGGCCGGGCGACGGUUGUCCCGGUUUAAGCGUGUAGGCUGGUUUUCCAGGCAAAUCCGGAAAAUCAAGGCUGAGGCGUGAUGACGAGGCACUACGGUGCUGAAGCAACAAAUGCCCUGCUUCCAGGAAAAGCCUCUAAGCAUCAGGUAACAUCAAAUCGUACCCCAAACCGACACAGGUGGUCAGGUAGAGAAUACCAAGGCGCUUGAGAGAACUCGGGUGAAGGAACUAGGCAAAAUGGUGCCGUAACUUCGGGAGAAGGCACGCUGAUAUGUAGGUGAAGUCCCUUGCGGAUGGAGCUGAAAUCAGUCGAAGAUACCAGCUGGCUGCAACUGUUUAUUAAAAACACAGCACUGUGCAAACACGAAAGUGGACGUAUACGGUGUGACGCCUGCCCGGUGCCGGAAGGUUAAUUGAUGGGGUCAGCGCAAGCGAAGCUCUUGAUCGAAGCCCCGGUAAACGGCGGCCGUAACUAUAACGGUCCUAAGGUAGCGAAAUUCCUUGUCGGGUAAGUUCCGACCUGCACGAAUGGCGUAAUGAUGGCCAGGCUGUCUCCACCCGAGACUCAGUGAAAUUGAACUCGCUGUGAAGAUGCAGUGUACCCGCGGCAAGACGGAAAGACCCCGUGAACCUUUACUAUAGCUUGACACUGAACAUUGAGCCUUGAUGUGUAGGAUAGGUGGGAGGCUUUGAAGUGUGGACGCCAGUCUGCAUGGAGCCGACCUUGAAAUACCACCCUUUAAUGUUUGAUGUUCUAACGUGGACCCGUGAUCCGGGUUGCGGACAGUGUCUGGUGGGUAGUUUGACUGGGGCGGUCUCCUCCUAAAGAGUAACGGAGGAGCACGAAGGUUGGCUAAUCCUGGUCGGACAUCAGGAGGUUAGUGCAAUGGCAUAAGCCAGCUUGACUGCGAGCGUGACGGCGCGAGCAGGUGCGAAAGCAGGUCAUAGUGAUCCGGUGGUUCUGAAUGGAAGGGCCAUCGCUCAACGGAUAAAAGGUACUCCGGGGAUAACAGGCUGAUACCGCCCAAGAGUUCAUAUCGACGGCGGUGUUUGGCACCUCGAUGUCGGCUCAUCACAUCCUGGGGCUGAAGUAGGUCCCAAGGGUAUGGCUGUUCGCCAUUUAAAGUGGUACGCGAGCUGGGUUUAGAACGUCGUGAGACAGUUCGGUCCCUAUCUGCCGUGGGCGCUGGAGAACUGAGGGGGGCUGCUCCUAGUACGAGAGGACCGGAGUGGACGCAUCACUGGUGUUCGGGUUGUCAUGCCAAUGGCACUGCCCGGUAGCUAAAUGCGGAAGAGAUAAGUGCUGAAAGCAUCUAAGCACGAAACUUGCCCCGAGAUGAGUUCUCCCUGACCCUUUAAGGGUCCUGAAGGAACGUUGAAGACGACGACGUUGAUAGGCCGGGUGUGUAAGCGCAGCGAUGCGUUGAGCUAACCGGUACUAAUGAACCGUGAGGCUUAACCUUACAACGCCGAAGGUGUUU
rnacentral:rRNA from 1 species